GGGAGCCAUUUAAAUAUAUUCACACAGUUUAAGCGAGGAAACGUUUUUCGUACAUCUUAACGCCGCCGCAAACAUUUUCGAUUGAACGGCCAGCAGUUCGUCGGUUAGCCUGCUGCUUGCGACGGGCAGAGAGAGAGAGAGGUGGCCUAUGUAUGCGUGUCUGUGCGUAAGUGUGUUGGUGCGAAGAAGCAACAAAAGAGCGCGAGAGAACAUAAAGUCGCAACAGAGAGAGAGAGAGAGCCCCAGAGCGGAAUAGAGGGAGUGUAAAUGCGCGCGCGCAGUGUUGCUUUGGAAUUCAUUUGCCGUCCCGUCGCUUCUGUUGCUGCCCAUGAACAUAUCAAAUAGGGUGGCAACGCAGCAAACCACGGACUCGGGCGCGCAUUAAAAAUGAGAAACAUUGCUGUUGCUGCUGCUGCUGUUGCUUGAGAUGUGAGAGGCAAUAAAAAAUGGAACCGUGUGCGAGUGGAAGGAAGUUUGCUCCAUGCUCUUGCAUGCUAAUGGCCUCUGGGGUCUUCGGUCUACAGUCCAGCGAUUGAGGCGAAAUAAAUUGAGGAAAGAAAAGAUCGUCGUGAGCAGCAGCAAAUGAGAAAAAUGGCGCUUAGAAUUUGGAUAAGUAACAACUGCUCAGAGAGUCGAGUCGGAUGACUGGGAGAUUACGUAAGUGCAAAAAGCACCAACACAGUUACGGUGCGAAAGAGCCGGCACGAGAGCUUGCAAAACAAGUCGCAUACAGGGUGUCCGCAUUGGCAACGUGACGCGAGCAACAAUGCCAUGGCAACAUUACCAGUCGAUACCCUGUUUUGGGUCGAGAAGAGCGCGAAAAAGAGCGAAGCCCAUACACUGAAUAAUGUGUGCUGUAUAUAAACGGCGGCGGUGGCGACGUCGGCGUCGAUACUCUUGCAGUACAUAAUGAAAUCGACAAAACUGAAAAUCAGAAACCAAACGGACUACAGAGCAGGCUACAACUCUGCCACGGUUACACUUUGCGGCGGCAGUGGCGGCGGCACAUAUACACCUACUACAAUCCACAACCUCCACCACCUCGCUCACGCACACAGGGACUCACAAAACGCACACUCUCGUACUCGUGGCCGUAUGGCUUGUCUGUGUGUGUGUUGUGUGUAACGUAGAAAGGCAGCAAAGUGCAUCUCACCAUGACAAUGGCGGUAGAGCCGCAGGGGAACCGUCGUCGAUGGCCACCAGAGCAUACUCUUCCCGUCGCCAAACCCAAAAAACACAUGCUGGAAUCUCAAAUUGUUUCUGGAAGAAGCAUGCAAAAAUCAAAUCUGUACACGCGAAAAAUCUGGCGUGGGGUGGUGGAAAUGGAAACCUUGCAAUUAUCGAUUAUUUCGCUCAUUGCGCAAUGCAGACAGGACGGACCCACAAGAGAGAGAGAGAGAGUUUAAGGGAGUGCUCUCCGCUCUCUACGGCACCUUAGCACCUGCUAACGGGAACGCACAGCUACUGUCGAUGGCUAAUGCAAAUCAAGUGCAUCCAAAACUUGGAGCAGCAACACGAAGCUCCUCUCGUCAGUAGACUGAAAGUUCAAAGUUCACUUGCAGCUUGUGCAGCGCAUGUCUAGGCCGAAGCCUGCAGUCUCCCCCCUCUGAUGAUUGCAGUUCAACAUCCCUUGGAGCAAAAGGGACAACCACACCUCUGUGUGCCGCCCACGCGCUAGAUUGUGAUUGCGGUUCCAGUGUUGCGGGAAGGCCUUCGAUGGAGUAUGGCCACAUGCCGACGACCAGGCCGAAGCCCCUCGGCGAAACAUUACCAGAAGACACGACGCAGUCAUUAAAUGCUCCACCAACAACAACAGGCAUAGCUGACCAAAACGGGCGCACAUUUUAUCAGGCGAAAAGAUAUACACGUGAAUGCAUAUGAUAUGUAAUAGGUCGCCCCACAGAUUCUAAUUUCAUGUGUGGUCAGCUAAUUACCAAAUAUUUUCAGUUUGUCACUUGAGCAGAUAGCUUUUUGGAUGCCAAAAACACCAUUAAAACAGAAGAAUGGAGCUGAUGAUUAGACGUGAAUGAACAAGACAGCUUCAAAAAGAUGCAAACAAAAAAUACAGAAGAUACUGCUACUACUAUUUGUUUUAAAAAUGUAACCAUGACAAUAUUGAGCACCACCGAACCGUAACUGAAAAUGUAAGAAAUUGUUGAACGUCUAAUACAUGUACUCGUAGAAUGAGUCUCCAACAUCAA
rnacentral:sRNA from 15 species